UUGACAUGUAGCUGGGCCCAGCCCCAAGGUUAUGUGACUCCACACAUCUUCCUGAGCCCUACCCACAGGGGGCAUUGUGUCAUAUCUCUGAGACCUUCAAUGAGGUGAUGCGACUCUUUUGUUUGGGCCCUCUUCUCAGGAUAUUGUGACAUUGCUGAGCCCAGCAUCUAGGUGAUGUGACUCUUCUCUACUGUUUGGUCUCUACCCAAAAAGGGAUUGUGACAUAUCACUCUGUCAAGAACCUAGAAGAGGUGACUCUCCUCUCCAGCCUGGGACCUCCAUACAGAGGGGAUUGUAGCAUAUUCCUAAUGGAGCACCAAGGUGAUGUGACACUGCUGCCUGGUCCCUGCCCUCAGAGAAGAUUGUGACAUAUCACUGCCCCGAAACCCAGGUGUGAUUGUUACAUACACCUCUGCCCAGCACCUGAGUGAUUUGACUCUUCUGCUUGGGCCCAGCGUACAGAUGGGAUUGUGCCGCAUUGCUGGACCCAGCACUUAGGUGAUGGGAAUGAUUGUGACAUAUCCUUGGAACCAGACACCAGGUGAUGUGGCUCUUCUGCCUCUGUCUUGCCCACAGGGAGCAUUGUAACAUAGCGCUGAGCUCAGCACCCAGGUGAUGUGACUCUGUUGCCUGUGCUGUGCUUUCAGGACAGAAUUGUAACAUAUCCCUGGCUGAGCACUCAGGUGAUGUGACACUCCUGCUUGGCUUCUUCCCUCAGCAGAUUAUGAGAUAUCCAUGGCUGAAAUCCAGGGGGAAUUGUGACAUAUCACUUGGCCCAGUACCAAGCAAGUGUGACUGUUCUAUUCAUCAUAAGUCCUGCUUUCAAGGGAGAUUGGGACAUAUUGUGGGGCUCAACACCAAUGUGACAUUACUGUUUUGCCUUGGCCCAGACCUUAAAGGCACUGUGACGUAUUGCUCGGCUCAGCAACAAGGUGACGAGAGAUCCUGUGUGGACAUUGACAACAGAGAGCAUUGUGACAUAUCUUUGGGAGCAUCAGCUAUUUGAUGUGACUCUCCUUUUAUACC
rnacentral:lncRNA from 1 species